UUUAAAAAUUCAUUGCUUUAAAAAGAAUGGCACUAGGCACUGUCAAGAGUUUGAUGAAAUCUGGUUAUUGCUCUCAAGAGAUCCCAGUCUCUUAUGAUUCUAUAAUCUUACUUAGUCCUGAACUGUUACCAGAUCUAAGGGUGAGCAUAAACUAACUUAAUGAUUCAGAGGAAGUUCAGUCAAGAUUUACAGAUCUGAACAUAUCUUCU
rnacentral:lncRNA from 1 species